rnacentral:lncRNA from 1 species
AAACCAGAAUCCUUUGUGAGGACCUCAAAUCAUGACAGAAGCAUCAUUACAUGAAAAUCUAGACAGUUGGGAGCAGUGACAGGACUAGCCUGGGGAGAGAAGAGAUGUGAGUAGACAACGUAGUUCCUGAAGAUCUGUUGGGACCUCUCCAUCCUCCGGGCAGCAACACCCUCUCCUCAUGUACACCUAAUUUGGCCGCCUCAUCUGAAGCCAAGUCAGCCUUCUCUCAUCCAGUCACCCCAUGAGCCCCUGGUAGGUCUUGUUCGCAGCUGCCAACAGAAUCUGAGGACAUUGUUUAUUUGAUUUGUUUUAAAUCUCAUUCCUUCCCCUCUCUCCCACCAAGCGCAGGCAUCCUGUCUGUCUCGCUGGCCGUCACAUUCCCA